AUUUGGGUAAAAAUAGCAAAAUAAUUAAGAACUUUGAGGUAAACAUUUUGCUAGAUUUCUUAUGUCUUUCUCUAGUUUAGUAAUUUUUUUUUUCUUUUUUUGUGCAAAUAUAUAUAUAUUAUUAUAUUUAUUCUUAAAUACUCAGUUUUAUAUAUUACUGUCAGACUCUGUUCCAUUUUUUGUCUGUGUUCCUCCUUCCUGAUUGGUUAUCAUUUCAUCCCAGGUGUUUCCCAUGUGUAUUUUCAUUGAUCCCAGUCUCGUCUUGUCAUGUUUAAAUAGUGUUCCUUAUUUUCAGUUCGGCAUCCGGUAUUGUUUGUGUCUACAAGUGCUACGUGUUUUUUCCUGUUUCCUUUGGAUCGAUUAAAGACUUUAAAUUGGACAUUGCCUCUCCUUGUUCCUCGCUCAGUGCUCCUCAUAGUAGCACCCCGUGACAGAAUACCGGACCUAAAACAAAAACUGGAUGAAUGGGCGAUGUUCAUUGCCAUGGCUCAAGCAAGCCCCAACCCCAUCGCCUUCGCUAGGGCGUCAGCUCCAGCUCCCUCGAGGGGGAAACCCUAGAGACGCUGUUCCCCGCGGAGCUCCCAGACACCACCAACCUCGGCUGGAAGGAGGCAGUCAUCCGGUGUCUGAAGAUUCUCCGAUCCCAACCCGGAAGCCCUCCGCCAGCAGUUCCCGAGUCAAGUCAGUUUUUUUUUUUUUUUUUAAUUUUUUUGACAUAUUAGAGUCCAAUGUUUUUACAGAAGGAAUUCUGGGUAUCUCUUUUUGUCACUCCAUAAUUCAGAAAAUACUUUGAACAGCUAGAAAACAAUAUAUUUUCACCAUUUUUUGGGGAAUAAAAUGUUGUAUAUAAUCAAGAAAAUUAUAUAUGAACAAAUCCCUCUGUAAAAACCUUCAGAAUAUAGACAGGAAUACAAUUGUAAAGUUUAGUGUGUGUAAGUGCCACUGAAGUGGAGAUAUAUGGCUCAGAGUUGGAGAAAAAACUCAUUUUGAGAAAACGGCCUUUAAAAAUAUGUAUUGUAAUUGAAAUCUAUUGACACAAAUAGAUAAAGUGCUGUAAAAGAAACACUUAACAGUGUCUUUUGGAUGUUUUCUUUCCAUAAGUCUGAAAAAACACUUUAUGAAAAGCCAAAAAGCCCAAAAUCUAAAUAUUCACAGGUGCAUGAAAAAACUCAGUUUUUGCCUGCAGUGUCUCCCCUUAAACGUUCUUUCAUUAAUGUCCACCACAGAAUUUUUUUUUGUUGUUGUUGUUUGUUUGUUUGUUUUUAGGGGGAUAUUUGGUAUUUGGUUAACACAUUUGAAUUUUUAAUCUAUUUUUCUGAGGUCUUUAGAUUUUAAAAAGUAAACAUUUUUUCAUUCAUUAUUUUGAACAUUAUUUUGCCGGUGCAAAAAAUUUUAAGAGACAUAAAGACAAUUCAAGCCAAUUAAAGAAUCAAGUGCUUAAAAUAUAUGCAGUAUUCUUCUUUGAUAAAAUACAUUUCAUAACAUAAUUCCAUCAAUGACAUGAAAUGUACCUUAAAUUAUAGAACUACCCAUGCAUAUACAGUGUAUAUCUUACUAAAUAUGAACAUGUUAUAAGUAAACAUAAAAAAUUAUUUAGUUAAUUGCAUCGAAUUAUUAAUUUAUUACUUAGUACAUAGUAGUUAAAGGCACUUAAUAUAACGUUGGUCCAGUAUUUUACACAAUGUUCUGUAAGUGAACACAUGAAUAAUUUUAUUUAGAUCAGUGCAAAUAGUGCACUAACAAGUACAGUACAAAAUUACAACACGUACUUACAGCAAUACUAAAAUUGCAGCACACAUAAACAAACUGAUCUCUGUAACUCCAUGAGAUUCACCAGAACUGUGGUUUUCUCUGAAGUGGAUUAUGCAAAGGCGUCUGGCAUGUUAAUGCUGGCUGCACAGACGCAGAUAGAAAGGAAGUGUGGGAGACAGUGACGAGGGUGUGUUCUUCAUAGCACCACCCAUCAUUGCUCAGAGUGUGUCACCAAGUACUUUAGUCUGAGCAUAUAAAAGAGGCGAGGUACAUCUCUAGAGGGUUCAGAAAAUUACAAAGACUAGAAGAGAAUCAAAGCAUUGUAAGAACCAUACCGGUUAAGGGCCAACAAACAGGUAUACAGUACUUCCCUUUGUCUAG
rnacentral:lncRNA from 1 species